AUCCUUGACAUCCUAGGAACCUGCUGGAGACAGCGGGGUGCCUUCGGGAGCCUAGAGAC
rnacentral:rRNA from 1 species